AUCCUCAUGGCGCAGUGGUUAGCACUGCCGUUUUGCAAAUAUUGGGUGCGAGUUCAAUCUCGCCGGGGCUC